rnacentral:rRNA from 1 species
UACGUAGGGGGCAAGCGUUGUCCGGAAUUAUUGGGCGUAAAGAGCGCGUAGGCGGUCCGAUAAGUCGGCUGUGAAAGUCAGGGGCUCAACCCUUGAAAGCCGGCCGAUACUGUCGGACUAGAGUCCGGAAGAGGAGAGCGGAAUUCCUGGUGUAGCGGUGGAAUGCGCAGAUAUCAGGAAGAACACCCGUGGCGAAGGCGGCUCUCUGGGACGGUACUGACGCUGAGACGCGAAAGCGUGGGGAGCGAACAGG